rnacentral:rRNA from 1 species
AAACGACUCUCGGCAACGGAUAUCUCGGCUCUCGCAUCGAUGAAGAACGUAGCGAAAUGCGAUACUUGGUGUGAAUUGCAGAAUCCCGUGAACCAUCGAGUUUUUGAACGCAAGUUGCGCCCGAAGCCUUUUGGCCAGGGCACGUCUGCCUGGGCGUCACGC